UGGCGGGGCGCAGAGGCCUGUCCCCACGGCCAGUCUCGGACCUCCCGUGGAACCCUGACGAUGUGGCCCGCCCCACGGUCAAGGGGCUUUAUGGGAAUCUACCCCGCCGCCUGACCGAGCCCUCGGGAGCCCCCCAAACCCGCCUUUCUGGUCUCUUUCAGGCUGGAACCCGAGUGUUCCUGGCCUCGGGGAGGACCGAACCCUUUUCCCGGCGCUCUUACGACUGUAGCCACUUCCGGUUACUGGUAGCUGAUGGUUCCGGAGCCGCUGGCUGGAAGGGCUGGCGCUGGGGGGGGAACAGCGGCGCUUCGGGCUAGGAAACCGGCCGGAGAGAGGGGCUGCUGCGGUGUCCUCGUUUACUUACAGACUUUGGAAAAUAGAGAAGAAUAAGUCACCUGUGAUUUCAUUACCUUCAAAUAAUCUUUGUCUACAUUUGGAGAUAUCCUUCCAAUAUCUUUCUUUGUAACUUUAAAAAAGUAGAAUCAUGGAUAGUGAUUUUUUUUUUAAUUUUAUUUAUUUAUUCAUGAGAGAGACAGAGAGAGAAAGGCAGAGACAGGCAGAGGGAGAAGCACGCUCCAUGCAGGGAGCCCGAUGUGGGACUCGAUCCCGGGGCUCCAGGAUCAGGCCCUGGGCUGAAGGUGGCGUUAAACCGCUGAGCUACCCAGGCUGCCCAUGGAUAGUGAUUGUUAAACACCAAUCUGUCAUCCACUCCUCUAUCUCUAUGUAAAAUAAUGUAACGGGGGCACCUAGAUGGUUGGUUGAGUAUUUGACUUGAUUUCAGCUCAGGUCUUGAUCUCAAUGUUUUGAGUUCAAGCCCUGUGUUGGUGUUGGAGCAUGGAGCCUACUUUAAAUAAAAUAAUGUAACAAACAUCCCUGUGAUAGGAUGAAAUUCUGUUUCCUCAGCAUGGUAUUCAGGAAUACCAUGGCUGAGCAUCUGCCUUUGGCUACUUCCCUACUGGCUUUUGAUUUUUCAAAAUUCUCUUUAUCAAAAUCAAAAUCAACUCAGAGCAAUUGCUAUUCUUAGAAUGUUAUGCUUUCAUGCCAGCCUUCCCCUGCCCCUAGUGUUGUAGCUCUAAGUCACCAGUGUGACUGCAUUUGGAAAAGAGGCCUUUAAGAAGUAAUUAAGGAGGACAGCCCAGGUGGCUCAGUGGUUUGGCGCCGCCUGCAGCCCAGGUGUGAUCCUGGAGACAGAGGAUCGAGUCCCAUGUCCGGCUGCCUGCAUGGAGCCUGUUUUUCCCUCUGUCUCUGCCUCUCUCAUAAAUAAAUAAAUACCAUGUGAAGACCCAGCAAGUCUGUGAGUCAAGGAGAAGCCUCACCAGAAACCAAGGCUGCUAACACCUUGAUCUUGGACUUUCCAGCCUCUACAACGGAGAAAAUAAAUUUCUGUUGUGUAAGUCA